rnacentral:rRNA from 1 species
UACGGAAGGGGCAAGCGUUGUUCGGAAUCAUUGGGCGUAAAGAGCGUGUAGGCGGCCAGGUAGGUCUGCUGUGAAAACUCGAGGCUUAACCUCGAGAUGUCGGCGGAAACCAUCUGGCUAGAGUCCGGAAGAGGAGAAUGGAAUUCCCGGUGUAGCGGUGAAAUGCGCAGAUAUCGGGAAGAACACCCGUGGCGAAGGCGGUUCUCUGGGACGGUACUGACGCUGAGACGCGAAAGCGUGGGGAGCGAACAGG